rnacentral:rRNA from 1 species
UGGUCAAUAGCCUAACGGCUGAACCAGCAAUUUGGGGGAAUGUAUAGUAUAUACUAAUUGUAUUUUAAAUACAAUAUCGACUAUGUCGAAUAAAGUUCUAGAUAGAAUACUGAUAAUGACAAUUUUCUAUCUAUAUGUCUUGACCAAAUCACGUGCCAGCAGUCGCGGUAAUACGUGGAAGACUAGUGUUAUUCAUCUUUAAUAGGUUUAAAGGGUACCUAGACUGUAUUUCUAGCCCAAAUAGGGUACGGAUUUACUAGAGUUUAAUGUAAGAAGAAAAAAUUAAGAGUGAAAUUUUAAUUUCAUUUUUUGUAGUACUUGAAGUGUAGAGAUAAAAUUUUGUAAUACUUUAAGGAAACUGGUGAUGCGAAAGCAACCUUCUAUGUAUAAACUGACGUUGAGGGACGAAGGCUUGGGUCGCGAAUAGGAUUAGAUACCCUAGUAGUCCAAGCAGAAAAUUAUGAAUGUCAUAGAUCAGAUAUAUUUUGGUUUAUAAAUGAAAGUGUAAGCAUUCCACCUCAAGAGUAAUGCGGCAACGCAGGAACUGAAAUCAUUAGACCGUUUCUGAAACCAGUAGUGAAGUAUGUUAUUUAAUUCGAUAAUCCGCGAAAAACCUUACCACAAUUUGAAUAUAAAAAUUACAAGCGCUGCACGGCUGUCUUCAGUUAAUGUCGUGAGAUUUUGGUUAGUUCCAUUAAAUUAACGUAAACCCUUGCUUUAUUUAUAAUAUUUAUAUAAAGUAGCUCACCGCUAUAUUGGAUAUGAUAAAAGGGAAUAAGACAAGUCAUCAUGGCCUUAAUAUUGUGGGCUAUA